rnacentral:rRNA from 1 species
AACGAACGCUGGCGGCAGGCUUAACCCAUGCAAGUCGAGCGCCCCGCAAGGGGAGCGGCUGACGGGUGAGUAACGCGUGGGAAUCUACCCAUCUCUACGGAAUAACGCAUGGAAACGUGUGCUAAUACCGUAUACGUCCUUCGGGAGAAAGAUUUAUCGGAGAUGGAUGAGCCCGCGUUGGAUUAGCUAGUUGGUGGGGUAAAGGCCUACCAAGGCGACGAUCCAUAGCUGGUCUGAGAGGAUGAUCAGCCACACUGGGACUGAGACACGGCCCAGACUCCUACGGGAGGCAGCAGUGGGGAAUAUUGGACAAUGGGCGCAAGCCUGAUCCAGCCAUGCCGCGUGAGUGAUGAAGGCCCUAGGGUUGUAAAGCUCUUUCACCGGUGAAGAUAAUGACGGUAACCGGAGAAGAAGCCCCGGCUAACUUCGUGCCAGCCGCCGCCGUAAAAC